GCUCAAUGGAACUGUAUCCUCCCUGGACUACAUCAAAAAUCUCCUGUAUUGCCUGCAAGGCUACCAUCUCCUUCCUGCUUGGAGUUUUACUUAAUUUAGCUGUUUCAACUUUCUACUCUAGAGGAGAGCGAUACAGGAGCAGCUUCAGCAUGCAGUAUUCCUGUGCAGUAAGGGUA
rnacentral:lncRNA from 11 species